rnacentral:rRNA from 1 species
UACAGAGGGUGCAAGCGUUAAUCGGAAUUACUGGGCGUAAAGCGCGCGUAGGUGGUUUGUUAAGUUGGAUGUGAAAUCCCCGGGCUCAACCUGGGAACUGCAUUCAAAACUGACAAGCUAGAGUAUGGUAGAGGGUGGUGGAAUUUCCUGUGUAGCGGUGAAAUGCGUAGAUAUAGGAAGGAACACCAGUGGCGAAGGCGACCACCUGGACUGAUACUGACACUGAGGUGCGAAAGCGUAGGGAGCAAACAGG